rnacentral:rRNA from 1 species
UGAAUACGAGACGCUAAGGCGUCGAAGUAGUGUAUGUCAUACUUCCAAGAAAAGCUUGCACUGUCAUAGAUAAAAAACGCCUGUACCAUAACCGACACAGGUGGGUAGGUAGAGUAUACUAGGGGGCGCGAGAUAACUCUCUCUAAGGAACUCGGCAAAAUAACUCCGUAACUUCGGGAGAAGGAGUGCCUUAUUCUUAAGGUUGCAAUAACAAGAUCCAAGCAACUGUUUAUCAAAAACACAGGUCUCCGCUAAGUCGUAAGACGAUGUAUGGGGGCUGACGCCUGCCCAGUGCCAGAAGGUUAAAGAAGCUGGUUAGCAUUUGCGAAGCUAGUAACUGAAGCCCUGGUGAACGGCGGCCGUAACAAUAACGGUCCUAAGGUAGCGAAAUUCCUUGUCGGGUAAGUUCCGACCCGCACGAAAGGCGUAAUGAUUUGGAUACUGUCUCGGAGAGGGGCUCGGUGAAAUAGACUUGUCUGUGAAGAUGCGGACUACCUGCACCAGGACAGAAAGACCCUAUGAAGCUUUACUGUAACUUGAAAUUGAAAUUGGACUUUAUUCGCGCAGUAUAGGUGGGAGGCGUUGAUUAUAAUCUUGCGGGAUUAUUGGAGCCAUUAGUGAGAUACCACUCUUGUAAUGUUAGAUUUCUAACUUUGAAUCAUUAUCUGGUCAAAGAACAGUUUCAGGCGGGCAGUUUGACUGGGGCGGUCGCCUCCUAAACGGUAACGGAGGCGUACAAAGGUUUCCUCUGAACGGUUAGAAAUCGUAUCUAGAGUGUAAAGGCAUAAGGAAGCUUGACUGUGAGACCUACAAGUCGAGCAGGGACGAAAGUCGGUCUUAGUGAUCUGACGGUACUGAGUGGAAAGGCCGUCACUCAACGGAUAAAAGUUACUCUAGGAUAACAGGCUGAUCUCCCCCAAGAGUUCACAUCGACGGGGAGGUUUGGCACCUCGAUGUCGGCUCAUCGCAUCCUGGGGCGGUAGUACGUCCCAAGGGUUGGGCUGUUCGCCCAUGAAAGCGGUACGCGAGCUGGGUUCAGAACGUCGUGAGACAGUUCGGUCCAUAUCCGGUGUAGGCGUUAGAAUAUUGAGAGGAGCCUUCUUUAGUACGAGAGGACCGAGAAGGACAUACCUCUGGUGUACCAGUUAUCGUGCCAACGGUAAACGCUGGGUAGCUAUGUAUGGAGUGGAUAACCGCUGAGAGCAUCUAAGUGGGAAGCCCACCUCAAGAUAAGUAUUCUCA